GAUGAACGCUGGCGGCGUGCCUAAUACAUGCAAGUCGAGCGAACGGACGAGAAGCUUGCUUCUCUGAUGUUAGCGGCGGACGGGUGAGUAACACGUGGAUAACCUACCUAUAAGACUGGGAUAACUUCGGGAAACCGGGGCUAAUACCGGAUGAUAUUUUGAACCGCAUGGUUCAAAAGUGAAAGACGGUCUUGCUGUCACUUAUAGAUGGAUCCGCGCUGCAUUAGCUAGUUGGUAAGGUAACGGCUUACCAAGGCAACGAUGCAUAGCCGAGCUGAGAGGGUGAUCGGCCACACUGGAACUGAGACACGGUCCAGACUCCUACGGGAGGCAGCAGUAGGGAAUCUUCCGCAAUGGGCGAAAGCCUGACGGAGCAACGCCGCGUGAGUGAUGAAGGUCUUCGGAUCGUAAAACUCUGUUAUUAGGGAAGAACAUAUGUGUAAGUAACUGUGCACAUCUUGACGGUACCCAAUCAGAAAGCCACGGCUAACUACGUG
rnacentral:rRNA from 1 species